GACGAACGCUGGCGGCGCGCUUAACACAUGCAAGUCGAACGGAAAGGCCUGCUUUCCCUUGUGGAUUGCGGGUACUCGAGUGGCGAACGGGUGAGUAACACGUGAGUGAUCUGCCCCCAACUUGGGUAUAAGCCUGGGAAACUGGGUCUAAUUCCCGAUAGGACUGCAGGGUGGUGCCUGUGGUGGAAAACGAUUUUCUAGUGUUUGGGGAUGAGCUCGCGGCCUAUCAGCUUGUUGGUGGGGUAAUGGCCUACCAAGGCGGCGACGGGUAGCCGGCCUGGGAGGGUGGACGGCCACAUUGGGACUGAGAUACGGCCCAGACUCCUACGGGAGGCAGCAGUGGGGAAUAUUGCACAAUGGGCGGAAGCCUGAUGCAGCGACGCCGCGUGGGGGAUGACGGCCUUCGGGUGGUAAACUCCUUUCGACCGAGAGGAAGCCACCUGGUUGGAAGGGUGGUGACGGUAGUGGUAGAAGAAGCACCGGCUAACUACGUG
rnacentral:rRNA from 1 species